GACGAACGCUGGCGGCGUGCUUAACACAUGCAAGUCGAACGGAAAGGCCCUGCUUUUGUGUGGUGCUCGAGUGGCGAACGGGUGAGUAACACGUGAGUAACCUGCCCUUGACUUUGGGAUAACUUCAGGAAACUGGGGCUAAUACCUGAUAGGAGCUCCUGCUGCAUGGUGUGGGUUGUAAAGUUUCGGCGGUUUGGGAUGGACUCGCGGCUUUUCAGCUUGUUGGUGGGGUAGUGGCUUACCAAGGCUUUGACGGGUCGCCAGCCUGAGAGGGUGACAGGGCACAGUGGGACUGAGAAAGGAGCAAGACGCCUACGGGAGGCAGCGGUGGGAAAUAUUGCAAGAAGGGCGGAAGCAUGAAGCAGCAACGCCGCGUGCGGGAUGACGGCCUUCGGGUUGUAAACCGCUUUCGCCUGUGACGAAGAGUGAGUGACGGUAAUGGGUAAAGAAGCAACGGCUAACUACGUG
rnacentral:rRNA from 1 species